rnacentral:rRNA from 1 species
UACGUAGGGGGCAAACGUUGUCCGGAAUCAUUGGGCGUAAAGCGCGUGUAGGUGGUUUUGCAAGUCAAAUGUUAAAUCCCCGGGCUCAACUCGGGUUCGCGUUUGAUACUGCAAGACUAGAGAAAUGUAGAGGGAAGCGGAAUUACCGGUGUAGCGGUGAAAUGCGUAGAUAUCGGUAGGAACACCAGUGGCGAAGGCGGCUUUCUGGACAUUUUCUGACACUGAGACGCGAGAGCUAGGGGAGCAAACGGG